UGCUUCUGCGGCCAGUGAGGAUGAGAACCUCCGGGGGCAGGAGGUUCGACUCGAGCGAAGCGAGAGAACGUUGCGUCAGC
rnacentral:sRNA from 1 species